CUACGGGUGGCACCAGUGGGGAAUAUUGCGCAAUGGGCGAAAGCCUGACGCAGCAACGCCGUGUGAGGGAUGAAGGCUUUCGGGUCGUAAACCUCUGUCAGAAGGGAAGAACGGGUAUUGGUCUAAUAGGCCUUUAUUUUGACGGUACCUUCAGAGGAAGCACCGGCUAACUCCGUGCCAGCAGCCGCGGUAAUACGGAGGGUGCAAGCGUUAUUCGGAAUUACUGGGCGUAAAGCGCACGUAGGCCGCUUUGUAAGUCAGGGGUGAAAUCCCACGGCUCAACCGGGGAACUGCCUUUGAAGCUGCAGAGCUUGAAUCCUGGAGAGGGUGGCGGAAUUCCUGGUGUAGGAGUGAAAUCCGUAGAUAUCAGGAGGAACACCGGUGGCGAAGGCGGCCACCUGGACAGGUAUUGACGCUGAGGUGCGAAAGUGUGGGGAGCAAACAGGAUUAGAUACCCUGGUAGUC
rnacentral:rRNA from 1 species